rnacentral:rRNA from 1 species
UACGUAGGGUGCAAGCGUUGUCCGGAAUUAUUGGGCGUAAAGAGCUCGUAGGCGGUCUGUCGCGUCUGCUGUGAAAACUCAGGGCUUAACCCUGAGCUUGCAGUGGGUACGGGCAGACUAGAGUGCGGUAGGGGAGACUGGAAUUCCUGGUGUAGCGGUGAAAUGCGCAGAUAUCAGGAGGAGCACCGGUGGCGAAGGCGGGUCUCUGGGCCGUAACUGACGCUGAGGAGCGAAAGCAUGGGGAGCGAACAGG